rnacentral:lncRNA from 1 species
AGUAAGUUGAGUAUUUGGGAUUUCGGACUCUAUAACAUGCUGUAUGUAUUUUGUCAGUGGCUGUCGCAGAUGAAGUCGCAGGGAGUGUGUGUGAGUUAAUGGUUAAUGGCCGUGUUGUUAGUGUGAGUUAAUGGUUAAUGACCGUGUUGUGUUAUUAGAGUGGUAUUGACUGGGGUUGCUGCAAGAUCAUUGGUGUGAUAUGGCGUAUAGAUGGUGAAAUAGAGCUGUUAGCUGUAGAGUUACUCAUUUAGAUGUCACCACAGGAAAGGCAUAAGUCACACUUCUUCAGAAGAGACCUGGUUCUCUGUAAACUACACUUGAAACACACACACACACACACACACACACACACACAAUUAUGCACAUCAGUUGGACAUGCCCUCUGGCACGUUGUUGUUGUGGAAUGACAGCUUUAUAAGCCGGCACACUCUCAGCCCUCACACACUCUACACAGCGGGAGACAGUCAACAGCAGAUCACACACUCUGCACAGCGAGAGACAGUCAACAGAUCUCUACCACCUCUCUAUGCACCACAGCAAGGGAGCUUUAGCAGCGGAUCUCUAGCAGGUCUUAUAGAGAUCACAUCUCCUGCUCUUGCUCAGGACAGCAUCCCAGCACACAGAACAAGACAGCGUCUCCAAAUAAGGAAGCGAAGCGACAAGUCUGCCACCAUGACUCCAAUCAUAAUCCUCUCACUGGUGAUGGUCCUCAUCGCACACUCUGAACAGGUCAGCACUGUCAGUGUCAGUGAUUCUUUUUGGAGUAAUAUCUCCGCGAUAUCCUCCAGAUCAAGGCAAAAUGGACUGCAAUAUGCAGUGGAAGGAUAUAUCCAAAACAUUAAGAUCAACAACGAAGGGGACACAACAAUAAUCGAAGCAAAAGCACACAGGUCUCAAUCAAAAAAUGAGAAACCCCACGACCUCUUCAUUAAAUGCCACCAGCACAACCUUGUAGACUAGUCAUGUUCUUUCACCGCUGGGUAAGAUCUGUAGGCUAUAUAAUAUUUCAAGCUAGCUAAUAACCUUCAAAGAUUAUUUAUUCUUAUUCUUUAUUCCACCUCUGGCGAGGUAUCUAGCUAGCUAGCUAGGAUGGUGUCAAUCUACAGUACAGUAACGUAGCAGUGUGGAGCAAAAUAGCUGCUAGUAACGUUAUUGUUCAAGGGAUGUGUGUGCAUGUUGCUGAAAGUAUUUCAGUCACUGUACCGAUAACUUGCUUGUAAAACUGAUGAUCCUGAUGUAAUGCUAUGGCUUUGUAUCAGAUCGCCAGGUUAUUGCUCUCAGGUUGUGCCUUAUGCAUACCUUGGGAUACUCAGGAGCCCUUUCACAAAAUGUUACAA